rnacentral:tRNA from 1 species
GGGCGAGUGGUGGAACGGCAGACACGUACGCUUCAGAAGCGUAUGAGGUAACUCGUGGGGGUUCGAAUCCCCCCUCGCCCA